rnacentral:rRNA from 1 species
UACGUAGGGGGCAAGCGUUGUCCGGAAUCAUUGGGCGUAAAGCGCGUGUAGGCGGUCCGGUAAGUCCGCUGUGAAAGUCCAGGGCUCAACCCUGGGAUGCCGGUCGAUACUGCCGGACUAGAGUUCGGAAGAGGCGAGUGGAAUUCCCGGUGUAGCGGUGAAAUGCGCAGAUAUCGGGAGGAACACCGAUGGCGAAGGCAGCUCGCUGGGACGUUACUGACGCUGAGACGCGAAAGCGUGGGGAGCAAACAGG